UACGUAGGUGGCAAGCGUUGUCCGGAUUUAUUGGGUUUAAAGGGUGCGUAGGCGGCUUUGUAAGUCAGUGGUGAAAUAUGGCAGCUUAACUGUCAAGGUGCCAUUGAUACUGCGGAGCUUGAGUACAGAUGAGGUAGGCGGAAUUGACGGUGUAGCGGUUAAAUGCUUAGAUAUCGUCAAGAACACCUAUAGCGAAGGCAGCUUACUAGGCUGUAACUGACGCUGAGGCACGAAAGUGUGGGGAUCAAACAGG
rnacentral:rRNA from 1 species